rnacentral:rRNA from 1 species
AGUGAACGCUGGCGGUAGGCCUAACACAUGCAAGUCGAACGGCAGCACAGUAAGAGCUUGCUCUUACGGGUGGCGAGUGGCGGACGGGUGAGGAAUACAUCGGAAUCUACUUUUUCGUGGGGGAUAACGUAGGGAAACUUACGCUAAUACCGCAUACGAUCUACGGGUGAAAGCAGGGGAUCUUCUGACCUUGCGCGAUUGAAUGAGCCGAUGUCGGAUUAGCUAGUUGGCGGGGUAAAUGCCCACCAAGGCGACGAUCCGUAGCUGGUCUGAGAGGAUGAUCAGCCACACUGGAACUGAGACACGGUCCAGACUCCUACGAGAGGCAGCAGUGGGGAAUAUUAGACAAUGGGCGCAAGCCUGAUCCAGCCAGACCGCGUGGGUGAAGAAGGCCUUCGGGUUGUAAAGCCCUUUUGUUGGGAAAGAAAAGCAGCAGGUUAAUACCACGCUGUUCUGACGGUACCCAAAGAAUAAGCACCGGCUAACUUCGUG